CUUCCAUGGGGCUCUGAGUUGGACCAUAGGAAGUUCAUUUCCUAUUCGGGGUCGGCCUUGAGGGCUGUGCUGCUCCUUCGCCCGGAUUUACUACAUCUCCUGCUCUGCACGUGCGAUCCCAGGCGGUUUCCGAGCGCUGACCCUGAGCCUGCCUCCUGCUUAUUCCCUCUUCAUCGUUUGCCUGUGGAUCCCGCGUGCCAGGGACUCUGCCCCGCACGCCCCGCUUCGCUCCCCGUGUGUCCGGAAGAAAGGGUACCUGCUCCCGGGACUUCCUGCAGCAGGUUUGGGGGCAGAGUUACACUGAGAGAGGAGAGGCAGAGAGAGAGAGAAAGAUCUUCCAUCUGAUGGUGCACUCCCCAUUUGGCGGCAAUGGCCAGAGCUGUGCUGAUCCGAAGGCAGGAGACAGGAGCUUCUUCCAGGUGAUGAUAGCAUUUGAAGAGCUGGUUGUGUACUUUACCUGGGAGGAAUGGCAGAACAUGAACCAAGCUCAGAAAAUCCUGUACAGGGAUGUGAUGCUGGAGACCUACAGCAGCCUGUUCUCCGUGGGACACUGCAUGACCAAACCUGACUUGAUCUUCAAGUUGGAGCAAGGAGCAGAGCCCUGGAUGGUGGGAGAAUGCCUACAUAAAAGCCUUCCAGGUGUUCCACCAUCUGCUGCCCUCAUCAGACACCAAACCAACAAGACUACCUGAUCUUGGCCUGUGAACACCCAAAACCAUCAGCUGAAAUAAACUUUCUUUCCUAAGUAGUUUUUAUCAGCUACCACUUCCUGGAGUUGCAAGUAUCUGCAGGUGACCUCAUCUGAGACCACCGAAAGCCAGCCUCGCCCUUGGCCAGCUGUAACAUUACUCGAACAGUAUCUCCUGAUGAAGAAACAUGGGCCUCUGACACAACUGAGAGUCCAGGAAUUGAUCAAACAGAAAUUCAACAGGAAGAAGAGGAUGUAGGGAAGGACUGGCUGGAUUGGAACUGCUGAGGCCUUGUGGUUUGGAGGACACUCACAGGCUCAUGGUAUAUGAGCCCCCGAGUACUGCAGAUGACCAUGGCAGGGCUGCAGGCUCACUCCUUCACAGAAGACUCAGAACAUAAAUGUGGAAUCAGAUGGGUCUGGUGGAACUGGUGUAUCAGGACACUGGUGCACACUCAACCUGGCAAAACUUUUAGAAUCACUUCACCCUCUUAUUGUCAGCAGCAAGAGUGAGCUUGAGGCUAACCGUGGGACAAAGAAAGAGCAGUUUCAGUCUCACUCCUAUAGUAUCUGUGAGUCUUUCCUUGGACCAUAGCAUUCUUUCCUCAGGUGGAAAGCUUACGAGUAUGGGAGGAGGCAUGAGUUUACUGUGGCAACUGAGACACAAGUUAAGAUGCCUACAUCCCACACCAGAGCCCCUGGGUUCCAUACGUGGCUCCAGCAUCCUACUCGUGCAGACCCUGGGAGGCAGCAGUGAUGGCUCAAGUUGUUGGGUGCCUGCCACCCAUAUUCCCAGCUCCUUGCCCAGAUUCAGUUGUAGUGGGCAUUUGAGGAUGAACCAGCAGAUGGGAGCUGUGUGUGUGUGUGUGCAUGCACGCCUCUCUCUCUGCCUAUCAAAUAAAUACAUAAAAAGCUUUUAAAAAGAAAAUUUAAUAACUAACACAUUAAUACUUCUUGCAUUCUAGAGUAAGCCACAGCCAGGAAAAACCAUGGAUGGCUCAGAGUGCAUCACUCCCAUCACUCCCCACUCUCACCAAAUAUACCCGGGAGUCUUGGCUCAGACCAGUCAUGGCCACUUUGGUGAUCAAACAAGGCCCCCUAUGAAGAGUCAUGUACAAAUGGCUCUGGAAACCUCCAGGAAGUUCUGAGAGAUGAGGGAGAGAAGAUUAGGGAAGAGGAAGGAUCAGAGCAGCCAGGUGAGAAACGUGGGGCAGCCAUUGUCUCUGGAUAUUGUUCAUAUAUGAGUCUCCGGUUCCUUCACUCUCCAGGCUGGUGCACUCUGCCUUACUCUCUAGGAACAGGAAAACCACGGAUGUCUUUUGGGAACAGACAUUCUAUUGCAGUGGUUCCCAGAUGUUUUGUUUAUUUUUUAAAGUGGCAGCAGUCGUGAAUUAUUUUAGGAUUGCCAAAAUAAGGGUACUUAGAAACCCCCAAAAUUCCAAAGCCAUUGGGAGUUUUAAUUUCCUAAUAGAGACAAUAUUUUAUCGCCAAAACAAUAAAAAAAAUAAAAAGUUAGAAGGGCUGAUAGUGCAUGAAUCUUGGAGGAUAAAGGAUAGUGCUUUGAAUUUAAUUGAUUCACAAUUAAGAAACAAACAACUGCCUAAAUUGACCAUAUUUGUCUCAUUUUGCAAUGGAUUGCUGAAAAUCCAUAACACAUCAGAACAGAGAACUAGAAGAGCUGAGUUUGAAUCCAGGCUCCUUAUGGCCCUUGAGCCAAGCUCUUUGCCCUCUGUUUUACCUUUGCCAAAUGAGAGUCUUGUAGGAGUUGACUUCUGCAGGAGUCUGACUCUCUUUGAGCUCCUUUUGCUCUGGGUCUAAUGUGGAAAGUCAAGCUCUGUUUCAAGCUCUCCGUAAGCCCACAUUUUAGGUAAUAUUUCAUGACAAAUUUUGUUUUGCUAGUUUCCCAUUUGCUAUCAACUGCUGCUUGGAUUAGUGAGGCUUGUAAUACCAUACACAACCCAGUAAUUUUCCCACUAGGGCAGGACUUUCCCAGGAUUUUCUGCCAAUGAUUAUUUUGUAAUCUAACAACUUUUAUAAAGCUUUCCAUGCCUAGCAUUAUCAUCCACCAAAACUAUUUCUAAAGUUAACAAGGAGAAUUCCAAGUAGAUACAAAGACAUGGUCAUGCCAUGGGUAAGGGUUUCAAGAGUCUGUAGUAGAACAAUACUGUACUCACAUUAUAAACCCACCCAGGACUUGGACUUGAGAUAGAGGGGUGCUAAUGGCAGCCUCAAGGGUUAGCUGUCAAAGUAGUUAGUGGAGAGAGAAGCCAGCCUCUCCCUUCCGAUCUAUCCAAAAAGCAUUGUGGAGAGAACAGGGUCAGCUAAGGAGCUGGAGUAAGGGAAGCACAGGAGAAAGGAGACUUUUUCUCAGGCAGGAGGUCAAAGGGCAACCACAGUGCAGUCAGAUUCCCAUAUCUGCAGGUUCCACAUUUUCAAAUUCAAUCACCUGUAGAUAGAAAAUAUCUGGAUCAAAAAGCCCUGCCAUUAUAUUGCCCUGGGAACAGGCUUUUUCUUGCCUUUGCUUCCUAAACAAUGCAUCUAAAACAACCAUUUAGAGAUCAUGUGUGUAUUUUCAGGGUUUGUAAGUAAUCUAGAAGUAACUUAAGGUUUGCAGGAGGACAUGUGUAGGUUAUAAGCAAAUACCAACCAUUUCAUAUGAGGGACUUAAGCAUCCUAGAUCUUAGAAGCUGCAAGGGGUCCUGCAACCAUACUCCAAAGAUACCAAGGGUUGACUGUAUUAGCUUCCUCAAGA